GCAUAUACACAGUUCUCUCUAGUCUCGUAUUUCCAUUUAUUGCGGCUGUCUCUAAUUCGCUUGGUGCAGGUCGGGACUAAUUCGCCGGUGGCGGCGGCGGCAAUCACAACGGCGGUGAUUGUUAUUAAAUGGAGAUUAGAUGUACGAAGUUAUCAACAUUUUUUGUUUUGCGGCGAAAUUUGUCCCGCCUUGCAUCAACUGAAUUGGAGACUGCUGUGAAUUGCAUAUAUUUUGGAUUGAUUUAAGCUAAGUCAGCUUUGUUCAGGAUCGAUCUAAUAUUUCGGCAGUUGUUUCACCUCAGGGGAGAAUGAUAUUUGGUGAUUUGAGAUGAAGGAGCGUGUGAGGUAAUUCUUUCUAAUUGGAUUAUGAUACAAUCCCACCUUUGAAGACUUAUUUUGGAAGAAAACAUGAAAGAGGAAAUAAGAUUUGUGCAGCUUCGGCCAAGUCCAACUUCUCUCCAGCAUGAAGAAACUGCAUUAGGAGGAAAGUGCCUCAUUAAUUCUCUCCAGCAGUUACCAAAUAUUCCAACUUACUAUCCGAUUAGGCUUUACAGUUUUCUAGUUAUUUUAAACAAUAUGUAUUCUAUAAAUAUCUAGUCAGGAUUAGCUUUAAGGGCAUUGAAUGUUUGUCUAAAUAUUAGUAUCCGGGAGUUUUGUCCACUCCAUACGGACAGAUUUGUCGGUUGUAAAUUGUGUUUAAAGAUUCUUGCACAAUCUAUUGCCAAUAGUAAUUUCCUUCUCUUCUCA